AUUGAACGCUGGCGGCAUGCCUUACACAUGCAAGUCGAACGGUAACGCGGGGCAACCUGGCGACGAGUGGCGAACGGGUGAGUAACGCAUCGGAACGUGCCCAGUAGUGGGGGAUAGCCCGGCGAAAGCCGGAUUAAUACCGCAUACGACCUACGGGUGAAAGAGGGGGAUCGCAAGACCUCUCGCUAUUGGAGCGGCCGAUGUCAGAUUAGGUAGUUGGUGGGGUAAAGGCCUACCAAGCCUACGAUCUGUAGCUGAUCUGAGAGGACGACCAGCCACACUGGGACUGAGACACGGCCCAGACGCCUACGGGAGGCAGCAGUGGGGAAUUUUGGACAAUGGGCGCAAGCCUGAUCCAGCCAUGCCGCGUGCGGGAAGAAGGCCUUCGGGUUGUAAACCGCUUUUGUCAGGGAAGAAACGCUCUGGACUAAUACUCUGGGGUAAUGACGGUACCUGAAGAAUAAGCACCGGCUAACUACGUGCCAGCCGCCGCAGUAA
rnacentral:rRNA from 1 species